GAGCUUCCUGUUGUGGAAGCGGUAACCGACACCGAGGCGGCCCCGGGGAAAGUUCUGGAAGUACCGCAGAUGCAGUUACUGGAGAAGAACCGGGCCACGAUCCAGAAGUUAACGCUGUCACCAUCAUGCUGAUGCUGUGGUACCUGAGUGGUUCCAUACCGGUAGCUACCUGAUAUUAAAGCAUCGACACUGAAGGAUUUGGGUUCAGCGGGUGAAAAGCUUCCUCUCCACGUCGAUGUCGCUCAGCUUUGAGGCUUGUUGACCUCGCCGGAGGGAGAUUAAAGCGUCGGGUGUUCUGACGUAAACGGUGACACUCAGAGACCCCGGAGAGCUGCAGGUCUUCCUGUCAAGAAGACUCACUGUUGCUUCUAUUAGUUUUAUUUCAGUCUUUCACUUGUUGAAAGGUUUAUAGUUCUGACCAGAACCGUCCGUUUAACCGGGGUCUCUGCAAAACCUUUCAUGCACUCUGAAAUUUAAUCAUCAGCCAUAUUUUCUGGAAAGGUGGUAAAUUUAAAUCAUGCAGGUAUUUAAAGGCUUAAAACUUUCUGAAACUAGCAGGAACCCUGAUUUAGGCUGG